rnacentral:rRNA from 1 species
GGUGAAGUGGGUGAUCCUAUGCUGUCGAGAAAAACCUCUAGCGAGCAACGAGCCGCCCGUACCCCAAACCGACUCAGGUGGUCAGGUAGAGAAUACCAAGGCGAUCGAGCGAACUAUGGUUAAGGAACUCGGCAAAAUACCUCCGUAAGUUCGCGAGAAGGAGGCCCGGCGUUUACGCAAGUAGAUUCCGGGGGCACAAACCAGGGGGUGGCGACUGUUUACUAAAAACACAGG